rnacentral:rRNA from 1 species
UGGGGAAUAUUGGACAAUGGGGGCAACCCUGAUCCAGCAAUGCCGCGUGAGUGAUGAAGGCCUUAGGGUUGUAAAGCUCUUUUGGCGGGGACGAUGAUGACGGUACCCGCAGAAUAAGCCCCGGCUAACUUCGUGCCAGCAGCCGCGGUAAUACGAAGGGGGCGAGCGUUGUUCGGAAUUACUGGGCGUAAAGGGCUCGUAGGUGGCCAACUAAGUCGGACGUGAAAUCCCUCGGCUUAACCGGGGAACUGCGUCCGAUACUGGAUGGCUUGAGUUUGGGAGAGGGAUGCGGAAUUCCAGGUGUAGCGGUGAAAUGCGUAGAUAUCUGGAGGAACACCGGUGGCGAAGGCGGCAUCCUGGACCAACACUGACACUGAGGAGCGAAAGCCAGGGGAGCAAAC